GUCGCGGUAAUACGUAAAAGACGAGUGUUAUUCAUCUUUAAUCGGUUUAAAGGGUACCUAGACGGAAAAUCAAGCUUAAUUAAACUAAGGACUAGUUUUCUAGAGUUUGACAUGAGAAGGUACGAACUAUCAGAGGAGAGAUAAAAUUUGUUGAUACUGGUGGGACGGACAACGGCGAAGGCAAUCUUCUACUAAAAACUGACGUUGAGGGACGAAGCCUUGGGGAGCGAGAAGGAUUAGAUACCCUAGUAGUCCUUGGAGAAAAUUAUGAGUGCCAUAGACUAAAGUGAAAAAGAAGUUCUUUUAAAAGAACUUUGUAUCUGAGCCUUAAUUGGAUACAAAGGUCUCGAGUAGCAGUUUAUAAAUGAAAGUGUAAGCAUUCCACCUCAUGACUAAAGCGGCAACGCCCAAAUUGAAAUCAUUAGACCGUUUCUGAAACCAGUAGUGAAGUAUGUUAUUUAAUUCGAUAACCCGCGAAUAACCUUACCACGUUUUGAAUUUAUUAAACAAGUGUUGCACGGCUGUCUUCAGUUAAUGUCGUGAGAUUUUGGUUUGUUCCAUUAAUUAACGAAAACCCUUGUUUCAUUUUUAUAUGAAAUAGUUCACCGUUAUAUUGGAAAGAUAAAAGGGAUCAAGACAAGUCAUCAUG
rnacentral:rRNA from 1 species